ensembl:lncRNA
GAGGGCACAGGUAAGUAACAGAGGUAAGGAUGUAGCAAGGUAACUAGGUCAUUCCCCUGGAUGUACACCGGUGUAUUCGAAGCGAGUAACUUUUAACUCGUAGCACAGAUAGGUAUUGAGCAAGGUGACUGACUCUUCACACUGGGCUUACAGGGCGUAUUCAAGGUCAAUAGCUUUUAGCUCGUACAGACAGGUAUGUAUUCAACAAAGUGACUGUAUCUUCACGCUGGGCUUACAGGGCGUAUUCAAGAUCAAUAACUUUUAGCUUUCCCCACAAUAUCCACACAAUACCUUGUUUUGCAUUCACGCUUCACCUCCUUCAGGCUAGGUACGGGGAACGGAGUUAUAGGCGGGCGUAGGUGGGAUAGGUGGGCACCGCCACGGCAGCCUACGUUCUCUCCAACAGGAACUUUUCUCGGCCUGGAGGGCGAGUACAGACAACAGGGACACGGCACAGCACUGCAAAACUUCGGUGUACACACGUCAAAGACAGACUCACCCACUGCACUACACACACUUCAGUGACUUUUAAGGUCGGUACUCCACGCCCGGUCGGAUUUCGUCCUGGAGGAGUUUACAGUCGCUGGCACGGUAAGUGCUCCAAACUUUACGGUGUGGCCACAGCCAAAUAACAUCCAUUCACCCCCACUCUACUUCGGCUCACCCACUCGUCUCGUCCUCCACGAUGGGGCCACUCAACAAGCUGUUAAUCACUCCAGCAGAUAUUAGUUAUCCAUAUCCAAGUAUGAGCAAUGAUAUGUAAACAAUCCAAUGUACUCACAGUCUUCGUGAUACUGAUCUUCUCCCGCUCUCUUUCUCAUCCAGAUAUAAACAACGAUAUAAGCAAUCCAAUGUACUCACAGUCGUCGUGAUACUGAUCUUCUCCCGCUCUCUUUCUCUCCCCAGCUUCGUACAGACGCCCGGAAGUGUUUUCGUUGUUCCACAAUGGCACUAUUUCCCUGCGGAACCUUCAUACAACAGA